rnacentral:lncRNA from 1 species
GAGCCAUCAUAUCCUCACCAUCGCGUUUCCAAAAUCUCUUGGAACUUGAGUGCAUGAGUUGAGUUAAUUGAACGUAGGACCGAAGAACAUCAUGGAGAAUGGGUUGGGUUAAAAUUAAAUUUUGAGCCUUAUAUCCUUUUAUUCAAAAACCGUGAACCAGGCCACGUUACAACCCUCAAAAGACCUAAUUGAAGUAAGGUUUAUUUUGAAAGCACGCGGUAGCAAGGUUGCGUUAACCUGACUCCCAAGAUCUUUUGUAAAUCAUCAGUGUUGAUAUCA